AUUCCCAUUUGACUACCACAUUUUCUCCCAAUAAUAGAUUUUGGUGGCUAUGCUUAUGGGAUAGAUUAAAAAUUGCCAUGAUCUGAAGAGGAGGAUUUAUUUGUGUCCUCUUCCUAUAUGAAAUGGCUGAACAGAAAAUU
rnacentral:snoRNA from 3 species